rnacentral:lncRNA from 12 species
CAAGGCACCCAGCCUGCAGUAUUUUGUUAUGACGCCUGAGCCAACAACGACAGGACCAGAGACACCACCACCAGACUCCGUCCCCACACCAAGAAGGGAUAGAAGAGGCGUUCGCUCCCCUGAGAUUUAUAUCCAAAAGCACCGACGGGAAUUCCUGACAUAGUUUACAUACUUCACAACAUUCUGCAAGCUGUUUCUACAUUUCCGGAUAACAAAGUUGAUUCACUCUACAGCUCCUAAUUAGCUGGCUUGGUUAGUAUUGUUUUGUUUUCUUUUUUCUUCCCUGAUCUCAUCAAUACACCAUUCAGUUGGAGCCACCAAAGAACACUGAAGAUUAUCCUGGUACGUCAAUCCCGAAGCUGUCUCUUUUACUACUGGCACACAAAAUUUGGGGUGGGGGGUGCCACAUAACUAAUCAUCAUACAUAUGUGAUUUAUAAGAAAAUAAACAGUAGGUUAGAAAAGGCA